UUCAUAAUGAUCUAAACGUUCUCUUGGUUUUACCUCUUCUCUCCCUAGAGUUAUCUUAGCUACGGGAACACCUAAGGGUCACAAUAAACGCCUACCAUGGCUAACAAGGACCACAAGGACAGGCUUGCCAACGUACACUCCGGAUAUUAAUGGGAUACCUCACACCCUUAGAGAGAAAUAAGUACCUCACAUAAAAUAGAUCAGAUAUGAAACAAGAUAAAUGAUUUAAUACUUAGAAAU
rnacentral:lncRNA from 1 species